rnacentral:sRNA from 1 species
UCUUUGAAGGCACCCACCAUCACUGACUUUGCCAGCCCGGCCGCGAGGUCGGGCUGUU